rnacentral:rRNA from 1 species
UACGUAGGUGGCAAGCGUUGUCCGGAUUUACUGGGUGUAAAGGGCGUGCAGCCGGGCAGUUAAGUCAGAUGUGAAAUCCCGUGGCUCAACCACGGAACUGCAUUUGAAACUGUCUGGCUGGAGUGCGGGAGAGGUAAGUGGAAUUCCUAGUGUAGCGGUGAAAUGCGUAGAUAUAUGGAGGAACACCAGUGGCGAAGGCGGCUGUCUGGCCUGUAACUGACGCUGAGGCACGAAAGCGUGGGGAGCAA